rnacentral:rRNA from 1 species
AUUGAACGCUGGCGGCAGGCUUAACACAUGCAAGUCGAGCGGGGUGAUGGUGCUUGCACUAUCACUUAGCGGCGGACGGGUGAGUAAUGCUUAGGAAUCUGCCUAUUAGUGGGGGACAACAGCUCGAAAGGGAUGCUAAUACCGCAUACGUCCUACGGGAGAAAGCAGGGGAUCACUUGUGACCUUGCGCUAAUAGAUGAGCCUAAGUCGGAUUAGCUAGUUGGUGGGGUAAAGGCCUACCAAGGCGACGAUCUGUAGCGGGUCUGAGAGGAUGAUCCGCCACACUGGGACUGAGACACAGCCCAGACUCCUACGGGAGGCAGCAGUGGGGAAUAUUGGACAAUGGGGGGAACCCUGAUCCAGCCAUGCCGCGUGUGUGAAGAAGGCCUUAUGGUUGUAAAGCACUUUAAGCGAGGAGGAGGCUCUUUUGGUUAAUACCCAAGAUGAGUGGACGUUACUCGCAGAAUAAGCACCGGCUAACUCUGUGCCAGCAGCCGCCGUAA